GUCGAAGGUGGGGCUGAUGACUGGGGUGAAGUCGUAACAAGGUAUCCGUACCGGAAGGUGCGGAUGGAUCACCUCCUAACAGGGAGACAACACAAUGAUUUUGAUGCCUGAGUACUUUUAUUCUUAGGCCGAAAUCCUGUCACCUUAGGUCGAUCGGUACCUCAGCUUUGAAGUUAAGGAUCAGCAGCAAUGUUGAUUGCUUGAUGGAGAUUUUCAGUUCCUAAACUUUGUCUAGGUCACACCCCAAAAGGGAUGAGACUCCUGGGCCAUUAGCUCAGGUGGUUAGAGCGCACCCCUGAUAAGGGUGAGGUCCCUGGUUCAAGUCCAGGAUGGCCCAUUCGGUGUUGGGGGUUUAGCUCAGUUGGUAGAGCGCCUGCUUUGCAAGCAGGAUGUCAGGAGUUCGAGUCUCCUAACCUCCACUGACCGAACUUGAUUCCCAUCUCCAAUUUUUUGGAGUUGAGCUCGAUUGGAGUGUGAUUUAGAUACGUCCGCUGGAUGACCCCAGCUUCCUGUCAUUCCAAGUUUUAGGUUAAAGCCUUGAAUUUGGUUGAUAAGAUGCUGGGCUCGGAUCAAAUAAUCAAGCAAUUGAUGAUUUGAUUUGAAGUUCUAGCAGAACCUUGACAACUGCAUAGGUGAGUCUGGAAAAAACAAAGCAUCUUACAGAUGCAUUGUUUUGAAUCUGAUCUUCUGAAAGGGAGAUUGGAUCUAGAACAAUGAAAAUUCUUUUGAGCAAGAGCCGAGACUCUUGAACGUUCUUUGAUUGGUGUCGAGCCUAUCGAAGUUUGAUCUUGUUUUUAGCAAUAAAAGCUUGAGAAUCUGCUUUCAACGGCGGUAAGCGUUCAAGAGGUUAAUUGGUCAAGCUACAAAGGGCUCA
rnacentral:misc_RNA from 1 species